rnacentral:rRNA from 1 species
GACGGGGGGGCAAGUGUUCGUUCGGAAUCACUGGGCGUAAAGCGGCACGUAGGCGGCUUUCUAAGUCAGGGUGAAAUCCUGGAGCUCAACUCCAGAACUGCCUUGAUACUGGGAGUCUCGAGUCCGGGAGAGGUGAGUGGAACUCCGAGUGUAGAGGUGAAAUUCGUAGAUAUUCGGAAGACACCAGUGCGAAGGCGGCUCACUGGCCCGGUACUGACGCUGAGGUGCGAAAGCGUGGGGAGCAAGCAGGAU